rnacentral:rRNA from 1 species
AACGAACGCUGGCGGCAUGCCUAACACAUGCAAGUCGAACGAGACCUUCGGGUCUAGUGGCGCACGGGUGCGUAACGCGUGGGAACCUGCCCUUAGGUUCGGAAUAACUCCCCGAAAGGGGUGCUAAUACCGGUUAAUGUCUUCGGACCAAAGAUUUAUCGCCUUUGGAUGGGCCCGCGUUGGAUUAGCUAGUUGGUAGGGUAAAAGCCUACCAAGGCGACGAUCCAUAGAUGGUCUGGGAGGAUGAUCAGCCACACUGGGACUGAGACACGGCCCAGACUCCGACGGGAGGCAGCAGUGGAGAAUAGUGGACGAGGGGCGAAAGCCUGAUCCAGCAAUGCCGCGUGAGUGAUGAAGGCCGUAGGGUUGUAAAGCUCUUUUACCCGGGAUGAUAAUGACAGUACCGGGAGAAUAAGCUCCGGCUAACUCCGUG